AGUGGAAACGGAAGUCCAGAGAAGCCAAGUGACCAGGCCAGGCACUUGGCAGUCCUGUCUCUGCUGUGGGAUCCUCAGUGCUCCACAGGCACGUGCCAAUACAGUAUGGACCCAAGCCCAGGGCUGAUCUGUUUCAGGCUAUCGCCUCCUCCCUUUGACAAGACAGGAGUGAUCUGAGCUCCCCUCUUGCCAUCUGCAGGAAUGAGAUGCCUGAGUAGCCCAGGAGGAUGCUGCCAAGGGGCACAGCAGAGUUCGCCUUGAAGCCACAGACUGGACCUUGAAUUCCAACCCAUCUGCCUGAUCAGUCAUCGAUGCUCCCCAUGCCUCAGUUUAUCAAUAAAAUGAUGUGUUGUGAUGACUAGUA
rnacentral:lncRNA from 1 species